AAGUGACUAGGACACUGGCUCCCGCUGGUCUGAGAGUCCGCCUCACCGGUACUGGGAGCGGCGAAGGAGGCAGUACCUGCGGGGGCGAAACCAGGUCUCAGGACUGGACCCUUCCUUGAGGGGCGGGGUCUGCGGCCGAGCGGAAGAAUGGUGAAUCCAAACCGCGGUAGAAUCUGAUCGUCAGAUGGUCCUGGGCGAAGUGCCGCCGGUGCCGAGGUUGAGUUCCUACUGCUGCCAGGCGUGCCGCACAAUCCCCCGGCCUCGCGGAGAUGCCCGAGUGGAGAGGGAGAGGAGAACGUGAGCGUCCCCGGGAACGCUGGGGCUGAGCCUUCGGGGCGCGGUGGGGGAGGUCUCCUAGUGGGCGUCCGCGCUGCACGUGUCUGUAGAGCUUUGGUGGACGGUGACGCUGGGGCGGCGAGCUGGCCCGGACUAGGGUGUAUCUUUUAUCUCCAAUUUCUUCCACUGUGUCCCGGAACACUGGAUGGAUAUGAAUUAGAUCAUUGCUACAAAUUACUUGCCUUGAAUCCUACGAUGGUAGGCCUGACAUUUUUGUGGUGGCGGAAUAGGCCAAAUAAAUAAACUUAAAAAAAAUUAAAAGCAGUCUUCUGGAGGAGCAGUUCCAGCAGGGCAAGCUUCUUGCAUGCAUCGCUUCAAGACCAGGCCAGUGUGGCCAAGCAGAUGGCUAUGUGCUGGAGGGCAAGGAGCUAGAGUUCUAUCUGAGGAAAAUCAAAGCCUGGAAAGUCAGAUGAGGAUUGAAGGAGAUCCUGCCAGGAAAGCCCCCAGGCUGCCCUUCUGCUUCUGCUGGUGGCAUGAAGGUUCCCUCCCGGGGCCUGAGCUUUAGAGGGCCCGGGUGAGGGGUGAAGAAUCUAGGAGCCCGAGGCCUGGAAGUCAGCUCCCCACCCCCAACCCUCCAGGUGAUGAUAAAACAAUGUGAUCGGCUAUAAAAACUCUGUACCCCGGCUGUUCGAGGCUGCACUCUUACCAAGAGUGUUGGUCCCAAUUGGUCCGCCUUGCCUCUCAUUGUAAUAAACUUUGUUGUGACUGUCA